rnacentral:misc_RNA from 1 species
GAUGAAGAACGUAGCGAAAUGCGAUAGUUAAUGUGAAUUGCAGAAUUCAGUGAAUCAUCGAGUCUUUGAACGCACAUUGCGCCCCCUGGUAUUCCGGGGGCAUGCCUGUCCGAGCGUCAUUGCUGCCCAUCAAGCGCGGCUUGUGUGUUGGGCCGCCGUCCGCCUUCCCCCCCGGGGGGAGGGGGACGGGCCCGAAAGGCAGCGGCGGCACCGCGUCCGGUCCUCGAGCGUAUGGGGCUCUGUCACCCGCUCUGGAGGCCCGGCCGGCGCCCGCCGACCCCCAACCUUCUUCUAACCAGGUUGACCUCGGAUCAGGUAGGGAUACCCGCUGAACUUAAGCAUAUCAAUAAGCGGAGGA